rnacentral:rRNA from 1 species
UGAACGCUGGCGGCAGGCCUAACACAUGCAAGUCGAGCGGAUGAAGGGAGCUUGCUCCUGGAUUCAGCGGCGGACGGGUGAGUAAUGCCUAGGAAUCUGCCUGGUAGUGGGGGAUAACGUCCGGAAACGGGCGCUAAUACCGCAUACGUCCUGAGGGAGAAAGUGGGGGAUCUUCGGACCUCACGCUAUCAGAUGAGCCUAGGUCGGAUUAGCUAGUUGGUGGGGUAAAGGCCUACCAAGGCGACGAUCCGUAACUGGUCUGAGAGGAUGAUCAGUCACACUGGAACUGAGACACGGUCGAGACUCCUACGGGAGGCGAAAGUGGGGAAUUUUGGAAAUUGGGCGAAAGCCUGAUCCAGCCAGUCCGGGUGUGUGAAGAAGGUCUUCGGAUUGUAAAGCACUUUAAGUUGGGAGAAGGGGAAGUAAGUUAAAACCUUGCUGUUUUGGCUUAACCAACAGAAAAAGCACCGGCUAACUGCGU